GAAAUGCCAGCAUAGGGAAAGCCUAACUCACAGCAAAGCUUCGUUUGAUUAUGAGACAGCCUCCAGCAUGAACUGAGCCAAUGAGGGAGAAGAUGUAUUGUGUGUGUCUGCUCAGUCUCCUCACAAGAGGCUAUUCUACCUCCUGGAAUCUUCCAUCACUGUGAGAUAAGGAUGCCAGCAUUCCCCUUUAUGUCCUCAGGGAUCAGAUAUCUGCAGAUCUGUAGGAAAGUAUCCUCUUUUCCAGUUCUCCAAUAAUUGGCAAGCGACCCACACCAGCAUGCUGCAGAGGAAGGUGAAAAAUCUCCAAGGUCACUGCCAAUCAGAUCUGGAGAAAAAAAUCUUCCUGGUCCCAUAUAUUGUGUUCAGUUACAUUUAACAAGAACCAGACAGCCAAGCACCUAGAGAGAGAAUGCUCGGUGCCACCUCACAGCCCUGGCCCACCACAUCCAAUGUCCCAUCUCCAGCCUGGGCCAUCCCUGAUGCUUCAGAGGAAAGAGAUUUUUAAAAAUACCUGGCAUAAACUGGGGGAAAGGAAAUCCCUUCCUGCCCCCUGCAGGUGGCUUGCUGAAACCCUGAAGAAUGAGCCUUUAUAUAUGCUAAUUUAUGUGAGUGAAGUGUGUGAUUUAUUUAUAAGCAUUCAUUAAGGAGAUUUCUAUAAUACAACUAUGAAUCAUAUCAUCAAUGGCAGAAUUCAUCCUAACUCCAAUUAUUGUCUUAUCUCACUUAAACUUUCACCUAGAUAUGUUUGCAUUAUUGCACACUCUCAUAAGAUAAAUUUAAAAUGAAAAUGCCUGAAGCAAUACUGUCCACUUCACUAUGACAGUAAUAUUUUGUUGUAAAUCUCCUGUGGAAGAGUUAAGUCUGUAUUCAUUUCAGUGAGAGUCAAUACAACCCUAACUAUUAAUUCCUUGGUGUUGUAGUUUGUUUUUUUAACUCAAACUUUCUUGAACGGUUACAACAUAUACUUAGAGUUGGGUUUUCUAAAGCAUUCAGCAUUGGCCUAACUCUGCUCCCUUUGAAGUCAUUGCUGCUAAACCACAGAUCUAUACUUGCCACCUUAACUAUCCCUUAACAAAGCUUGUUCUCUAAACAUCUUCUUCAGCUUCUCUGUUGUAUGUUUGUGAAAAUUAUUAGGAAUCCUAAUGAAAACCAUUGAAAACAGCUAUCAUGCAGGGCCCCACACUGAAAUUGAUAGUUGAAAUGGAGAAAUUUGCAUAUUUGAAAUGACUCUAUGUUGCUGUGAAUGUAGAACUUAUAUUUAGCUCCCAUAAUUCCCUGAGCCCGAAUUUUAUAAUGAAGUAGAAAUUAAUGUAAGGAUAAAUUCUCAUCACAAAGUACAGCGCAUAACUGUUUAAGUUCAGUUUAUGGUCUGUUGAUUGGCUAAGUCUGAGUUAAUUGAAAGUAAUUAUAAAUAGGCAAUUUGCAAACUGAAAAAAGAAAAUCAGAGUGAAAAAUUAAGCUUCCAUGGUCCAAUUCAGCGAGUCUUAUAGUUGGAGCAAAGAAACUUUGAUAUAAAUGUAAUUCCUCAGAGACAAUGCUCUUCCCACUACUAUUAUUUGAAAAAUAAAUGUAAACAGAUUCUGCACUCUCCAUCCAACAAAAGAUCCUAUUGGCAUGAAAUUUCUCUAGUGUAAAAUGUCUUCUUCCCUCUAAACAGAUACCAUACAUUGUACCCAAAGUCAAAAUAUGUUACAAAAAUAUAUUACAAAAUAUCUUUAUAUGUAUUACAAAAUAUCUUUAAGUUAAGGUAUGGUGAUAAAACAUGACCUUCUGAAUAUUUUGGGGGUUCAGUGAUAUUGUAUGAAUAUUAACUAUAUUUACUAAGCCUUGUCAUCUUAUAUUUGUCUGUAAAGCAUUAUGCACACCAGUAGAAAAUAGCAAUGAAUAAUAAUAGUGUGAUCCAUAUAUUUAAGUGGCAUAAAAGCCUACCUAGGCUGUAGUACUUACGAAAAAAGAAAACAUCAUGUCAUUAUUUAUAUACUUAGUUACUCUGCAGAGUGAUUGUAAAAUAGCUUUAAAUCCUACUCAGCUCUUCUAUCUCGGCUGAUUACUUUAU